GACGAACGCUGGCGGCGUGCUUAACACAUGCAAGUCGAACGGAAAGGCCCUGCUUGCAGGGUACUCGAGUGGCGAACGGGUGAGUAACACGUGGGUGAUCUGCCCUGCACUUCGGGAUAAGCCUGGGAAACUGGGUCUAAUACCGGAUAGGAGCCAUUUUUAGUGUGAUGGUUGGAAAGUUUUUUCGGUGUAGGAUGAGCUCGCGGCCUAUCAGCUUGUUGGUGGGGUAAUGGCCUACCAAGGCGGCGACUGGUAGCCGGCCUGAGAGGGUGGACGGCCACAUUGGGACUGAGAUACGGCCCAGACUCCUACGGGAGGCAGCAGUGGGGAAUAUUGCACAGUGGGCGCAAGCCGGAUGCAGCGACGCCGCGUGGGGGAUGACGGCCUUCGGGUUGUAAACUCCUUUCGCUAGGGACGAAGCUUUUUGUGACGGUACCUAGAUAAGAAGCACCGGCUAACUACGUG
rnacentral:rRNA from 1 species